UACGAAGGGUGCAAGCGUUGUUCGGAAUUACUGGGCGUAAAGGGCAUGUAGGCGGAUAAAUUAGUUAGAGGUGAAAUCCCGGGGCUUAACCUCGGAAUUGCCUUUAAUACGGUUUAUCUAGAGUGUUAGAGGGGAUAAUGGAAUACCCAGUGUAGAGGUGGAAUUCGUAGAUAUUGGGUAGAACACCGGUGGCGAAAGCGAUUAUCUGGCUAACAACUGACGCUGAGAUGCGAAAGCGUGGGGAU
rnacentral:rRNA from 1 species